AAGUGUUUUCCGCGUUGGACCGCGCAUAAGUCUGUUGGAAUACAGCGGCACAGUGGUGAGACCCCCGUAUGUGGUGCGGACGCCCAGCGCUUUGUGAUACACUUUCGAAGAGUCGAGUUGUUUGGGAAUGCAGCUCAAAUUGGGUGGUAAAUUCCAUCUAAAGCUAAAUAUUGGCGAGAGACCGAUAGCGAACAAGUACCGUGAGGGAAAGAUGAAAAGCACUUUGGAAAGAGAGUUAACAGUACGUGAAAUUGUUGGAAGGGAAACGCUUGAAGUCAGACUUGCUUGCCGGGCAACCGGUUUGCAGGCCAGCAUCAGUUUUCCGGGGUGGAUAAUGGUAGAGAGAAGGUAGCAGUUUCGGCUGUGUUAUAGCUCUCUACUGGAUACACCUUGGGGGACUGAGGAACGCAGUGUGCCUUAC
rnacentral:rRNA from 1 species